rnacentral:rRNA from 1 species
CAAUAGCGUAUAUUAAAGUUGUUGCAGUUAAAAAGCUCGUAGUUGGAUUUCUGGUCGGAAGCUCCUGUCCUCUGAUGAGCGUACAAGUGCGUCCUACCAUCCUUCUGUUAACCUUUAAGGCUUUCGCGGCUUUCUAGGGGCUCAGAUAUUUUACCUUGAGAAAAUUAGAGUGUUUCAGGCAGGCUAGCGCCGGAAUACAUUAGCAUGGAAUAAUGGAAUAGGACUUUUGCCUCUUCUGUUGGUCAUGAGGCUCGAGUAAUGAUUAAUAGGGAUAGUUGGGGGCAUUAGUACUUAACUGUCAGAGGUGAAAUUCUCGGAUUUGUUAAAGACUAACUUAUGCGAAANGANNNGCCAAGGAUGUUUUCAUNAA